GCGGGUGUAGCUCAGUUGGUUAGAGCGCCGGCCUGUCACGCCGGAGGUCGCGAGUUCAAGUCUCGUCACUCGCGCCA
rnacentral:tRNA from 29 species